CUGGCUCUCACUUGGUGGUGUUAAUAUCUCACUGGCACCUCCAAAAUGUUGUACCCAGAUGAGUUAGAGAAAAUGCCACACUUUGAGAUGAAUCAAGAGUCCUUUAUUAG
rnacentral:pre_miRNA from 10 species